rnacentral:rRNA from 1 species
AUGGACCGAAAGAGGUUGUGCUUGAUCUCAUGGAGAGGGCGAAGUGAUGAAAUCGGAGAGAAUGGGGCGGUUGACAACGAGAUUGGCGGAGGUGCGUGCGAGGCGAGAAGAGAAGUGAACCUGGGUGGUGAUGCUCGACGACGGAGUGAGAAAGGGAGGCAGGAGGUCGGCGACAAUGUCGGAGAGCAUGGAGCAGUGCAGUUGGCGCACGGGGUCGAGCUGAGCCGGUAUCCUGUUCGAGUUGGCUCCACCUGCUCCAGGAGCGAAGUUGUGGAGCGGAGUCCCUCCGAGCAGGCAGAGAUAGCCAUGGAGAUCGUUCCUGGAAGGGGCAGUUUCCUUGUAAAUAUGGGCUGGGCUUUCCAGGCUUCGCAUUUACACGGUCGAGUGCCCAGGCGACCAAGGAGCAACAGAAUGCUAACCACACUUUUUGACUUUCAAAGAAUAUGCAAGAUUUCGAAUUUUUAA